rnacentral:rRNA from 1 species
UACGGGGGGGGCAAGCGUUGUUCGGAAUUACUGGGCGUAAAGGGCCAGUAGGCGGCCAACUAAGUCCGACGUGAAAUCCCAAGGCUUAACCUUGGAACUGCGUCGGAUACUGGAUGGCUUGAAUUCGGGAGAGGGAUGCAGAAUUCCAGGUGUAGCGGUGAAAUGCGUAGAUAUCUGGAGGAAUACCGGUGGCGAAGGCGGCAUCCUGGACCGACAUUGACGCUGAUGAGCGAAAGCUAGGGGAGCAAACGGG